AUACUCUGGUUUCUCUUCAGAUCGUAUAAAUCUUUCGCCUUUUACUAAAGGUUUCCGUGGAGAGAAACGACUCUGAGUCAUUAGCUAACUUUUUGAGACCUUGCUUGUGCAGGGUC